rnacentral:rRNA from 1 species
UACGAGGGGGGCAAGCGUUGUUCGGAUUUAUUGGGCGUAAAGGGUGCGUAGGCGGUUUGGCAAGUCUUGUGUGAAAUCUUUGGGCUCAACCCAAAGCCUGCACAAGAAACUGCCGGGCUUGAGUAUGGGAGAGGUGAGUGGAAUUUCCGGUGUAGCGGUGAAAUGCGUAGAUAUCGUCUGGAACGCCGAAGGUGAAAACAGCUCGCUGGGGUUGUGCUGACGCUGAGACACGAAAGCCAGGGGAGCGAACGGG